UUUCGCAAUGCCCGAAAGGGUGACGAAGCGACGCCGCGUGUGGGAAGAAGGCCUUCGGGUUGUAAACCACUGUCGGGAGUUAAGAAAUGCAAGGAUAUGAAUAGUGUCUUUGCUUGACUAAGGCUCCGGAGGAAGCCACGGCUAACUCUGUGCCAGCAGCCGCGGUAAUACAGAGGCGGCAAGCGUUGUUCGGAAUUAUUGGGCGUAAAGAGCACGUAGGCGGCUAUGUAAGUCGGUUGUGAAAGCCUUCCGCUCAACGGGAGAACAGCAUCCGAUACUGCAUGGCUUGAGUGCGGGAGGGGAGAGUGGAACUUCUGGUGGAGCGGUGAAAUGCGUAGAUAUCAGAAGGAACGCCGGCGGCGAAAGCGGCUCUCUGGCCCAUAACUGACGCUGAGUGUGCGAAAGCUAGGGGAGCAAACGGGAUUAGAUACCCCGGUAGUCCUAGCCGUAAACGAUGGGCACUAAGUAGAGGGGUUUA
rnacentral:rRNA from 1 species